rnacentral:rRNA from 1 species
GAUAAACGCUGGCGGCGUGCAUAAAACAUGUAAGUCGAACGGAGUCGACGCAAGUCGGCUCAGUGGCAGACGGCUGAGUAACGCGUAGGUGACUUGCCCGGAAGUGGGGAAUAACGAUUCGAAAGAAUCGCUAAUACCGCAUAUGGUUGUGCGUAUGGACGCGUGCAACCAAAGCUCGCAAGGGCGCUUCUGGAGAGGCCUGCGUCCGAUUAGCUAGUUGGUGGGGUAAUUGCCUACCAAGGCGACGAUCGGUAGCUGAUCUGAGAGGAUGAUCAGCCAGACUGGGACUGAGACACGGCCCAGACUCCUACGGGUGGCAG